UAGGGAAUUUUCCGCAAUGGACGCAAGUCUGACGGAGCAACGCCGCGUGAGUGAAGAAGGCUUUCGGAUCGUAAAACUCUUUUGUAAGAGAAGAACAAAUUGUAGAGUAACUGCUACAGUCUUGCCGGUAUCUUACCAGAAAGCCACGGCUAACUACGUGCCAGCAGCCGCGGUAAUACGUAGGUGGCAAGCGUUGUCCGGAUUUAUUGGGCGUAAAGGGGGCGCAGGCUGCUUCUUAAGCCUGAUGUGAAAGCCCACGGCUUAACCGUGGAAGUGCAUUGGAAACUGGGAAGCUUGAGUACAGAAGGGGAAAGUGGAACUCCAUGUGUAGCGGUGGAAUGCGUAGAUAUAUGGAAGAACACCAGUGGCGAAAGCGACUUUCUGGUCUGUGACUGACGCUGAGGGACGAAAGCGUGGGUAGCAAACAGG
rnacentral:rRNA from 1 species